rnacentral:lncRNA from 1 species
UCGGGUCUAACAUUAGAUAUGACCUAGGCGUGUGCGUGAGUCAUCUUAUGUGUCACACUCUGUUCUCCCCUGAGUGUUCGCCUCUGGGGUCUGGGCCAAAUGUUAGUGCUGCUCUGUGAUCAGAUCAUCUGUCCGGCCCGGCCUCCAGAGGACGCCCAACAGGUCCAGCUGGUCACGUCAGGAUCAGACAGGGUGUUGGCUUCACCCUUCUGCGCCGAAGAUAGCAGCUGUUCUCCAUGAUCCUCACUGAUGUUUCUGCCAGUUUGAACAACCUGUUUCUCAUCUUUAAUCAAACUUCUGCCAGCAGAUUAUCUAAACCGAUCAAACAAAGGUUUUGCUUUUACUGUUAUUUGUACUUAUUUGUAAAGCAGCAAACUUUUCAGUUAUUUUGAUUUAAAAUGUCAAUGGGAAGCAGAUAAGGUGAUGAAGACUCUUGUCAUUCUCAGGGAUCCGCUGCCUGAAAGUCUUCAGCUGAUUCAACAUUUUGUAUUUCAAUUCCAUCAGCAGGUGUUCCUGUAUUGUCGCUCUUUCAAUGAGACGCUCCGUCUCAGAAAAGGAGCCUCGCUCCUCGGUGUCUGUCGAGCCCGGAUGACAAGAAAAGCCUGAAGGAGGGAGGAGGGAGGAGGAGAACAGGUCAGUCUGGUCUUUCUCCACGACAUGGUUGGGUGUUACCUGCCUGGGAGGUGCCAAAAGUGUGUAGGUAUGAGUGUGUGUGUUGUUUUUAUGUGUAUCUGAGAGAAAGUUAAGACAGAGAAGGAGAGGGAGCCACAGGGUGAGGAAGACGAAGACGGACGAAGACAGAGAGAGUGAGGAUUUCCUGGGAUUUCUACUGGACAUCAGCCAAGAUGUUUAAGAAAAAGGACACCAAGACCACGUCUGUGAAGAUGAACUCGUGAGUUUUUCCUUUGCAGAGAGAAUGUUGCAUGUGUUUAGUUUAUUCUUUCUCCAGAGCUGAGAAGUGACUUUAAGGCCGACUCUCUGGUGAAGUUGUUUCACUGCUUCGCCUCUGUGAUAGCGACGUUUUUUAGGUGAAGUUUCCUUUGGGAAUGUGAGACGGUUCUGUAAAUAGAUCAGGUGGAAAAGGUGAGGAUGUGUAACCCUGCAGGCUCUGGCUCAUUUUUCUGUAAAUGCAGGGGGGGGAAAGAGCAAUUUAAGGAUGAAUUGUUUUGCCUGAUGGACUUAAGAUGCAGUUUUUAAAUGAGUGGUAUGACUUAAGACAGAAACACCUGUUUAAUUCUGCAUCCUGAGUCAUAACAACGGAGGAAUCCAGCCGACGGAGGGUUGAGUCCGUCAGGUGGGACAGCAGGGAUGUCAGGCAUGACCGGCCUCUCGCUUCACCUGUCUUUCGGGGUGUGAUGAGGGCUGGGUUCUCUGGUGUGGGGCGUUGGUCCUGAGCUUUCACAGAUGCAGAUUUUAACAGAACGAGUGAAUCAGUGGGUGUGAAUCACCAAUGAAUCAGAUUUCUGGUUUUUCUUCUUUCUUCUGAUGUUUGACCUUGGUCUGAUGCUUCGUUUUUUUCCCUGGUUUCAUGAAUCGUGGAGACUCAGCCAUGUGCACACCUGAAGGCCAACCUCCAAGCCUGCAGAUGGCGGCCUUGCUUUGCUCUGACUGUUUUCACAUUGAGUGACAGGUGUUCAGGAAGUUUCUAAGCACUAGAUUUGAGUGUAAAGUGGAUGUGACGCCCUCAGGCGUGACGGAUGUGUGUUGUGGGUCCCUCAGGAGUUCGUCUCCUGAUAUUUCUCCACGACAUCAUUGUCCACAUCAGCAGCAACGCAAAGAUUGAAUAAGCAGUGUCACCGGCGCGCUGAUGGUUUCUUUGCUUCUGUAAGCAUUUCGUGAUACUGCUACAUCUCAGAUUGACGGGUGUGAGUUAGCGGCCAUGACAGGGAGUGUUUCAGCGCCGACUCCAGCAACAAAAAUGCAGACCAGCCCUUCCCAGAUAUGUGGGUCGUCCAGUUAUCCCACUUUAAGUGAAGUAUGUGACUACCAGAAAAAAGCAUAUCCAUCAAAAAACUACAAUUCCCAGAACCCCACCCUUUUAUAACCGUAAUAUUGGAAAGCACCAAAUGUCCUCUGCAGACACCAAAAGGAGUUCAUUCUGUAGUAAUCAGUGGUUGGGAGAUAUUCAGGAUCAGAAUUGUUCUCUACAGGGAAUAAACUUGCGCUGCAAAGAGUCAGGAGGUUAAAUCUCAUCUGAAAAUCAAAAUAAUCCAGAUUUUCUUCAAUAGGUUUGUUAUAAAUGUUGGCAGAAAUGUUUCUGAUGUUUGUUUUUUUUGCUAUAUUUAAAGCUGUAUGGAAAUAUCCAGCCUUAUGAAUCCCCCCCCCCCCCCAAUGAAAAUAAACAC